rnacentral:rRNA from 1 species
UACGUAGGGUGCAAGCGUUAUCCGGAAUUAUUGGGCGUAAAGAGCUCGUAGGCGGUUUGUUGCGUCCGCUGUGAAAACCCGGGGCUUAACCCCGGGCUUGCAGUGGAUACGGGCAGGCUGGAGGCAGGCAGGGGAGAACGGAAUCCCGGUGUAGCGGUGAAAUGCGCAGAUAUCGGGAGGAACACCGGUGGCGAAGGCGGUUCUCUGGGCCGAUACUGACGCUGAGGAGCGAAAGCGUGGGGAGCGAACAGG